rnacentral:lncRNA from 1 species
GAGGCCAUUGCAUGUGAUUGGACUGACCUCUUCCUGUGGUGACUAGAAAGUGCUAAAAGAAUAUUCUUUAGUAUUUUCUCUCAUACUAAGGGGUUAAUAUGGAAUGUGUUUGAAAUUGCAAAUUGAAUAAUUGUCCAGGUUUUUUUUUUAUACCUUGCUAAAUUAGUUCCUCUUUUAAUCUAGUGAUAGAUACAGUGAUGCCAGUGAUGACAGCUUUUCAGAGCCAAGGAUAGCUGAGUUGGAAAUAAGCUGAAAUGAAUACAUGACUGGGAAUAAUGGGGACUGCCUGUGAGGCCUCUGAAAUAAUUGAAGGCAAGAUGAAGGAACUAUCUGAAGAAAUCACUACACUCUUAGAGAAUCCCUCUGUUCUCCAGCAAACAUGGGAUGUAAAGCCUCACAGGGAAUCUGAUAAUACAUACUUCUGUCAACCAGAACCAGAGGGGUAGUUUUCUUUUCCCUCCAGAGGCAGCCUUUGGUACUUAAAAUAUCUGUAGCUGAUUAAAUUUUUCCCAACAACCUCA